CUUUGUAGAGGGCACUUGAACAGAAUCCAGCGGCGUCCUUAGUGUAUUUGACACCCACAACUGAUCAUCUAUCAACCUCUCUCCUCUAGCUUAAACUCAGGACUAUGCUGUGCCAUAGAAGCUGAAGAUGCAACUUGGCCCCAAAGCUCUAGUGAAAGCUGUACACACCAUUAAGAACUUACUCUGACUUUUUCACUGCCAGCGCAUGGUGAUAAUAAAAAACAGACCCACACUGGUUUUA